rnacentral:rRNA from 1 species
UCGGGUUGUAAAGCACUUUUGUUCGGGAAGAAAACUUCGAUCCUAAUAUGGUUGGAGGAUGACGGUACCGGAAGAAUAAGCACCGGCUAACUACGUGCCAGCAGCCGCGGUAAUACGUAGGGUGCGAGCGUUAAUCGGAAUUACUGGGCGUAAAGCGUGCGCAGGCGGUCUGUUAAGACCGAUGUGAAAUCCCCGGGCUUAACCUGGGAACUGCAUUGGUGACUGGCAGGCUGGAGUGCGGCAGAGGGGGGAUGGAAUUCCGCGUGUAGCAGUGAAAUGCGUAGAUAUGCGGAGGAACACCGAUGGCGAAGGCAAUCCCCUGGGCCUGCACUGACGCUCAUGCACGAAAGCGUGGGGAGCAAACAGGAUUAGAUACCCUGGUAGUCCACGCCCUAAACGAUGUCAACUAGUUGUUGGGUCUUCAUUGACUUAGUAACGUAGCUAACGCGUGAAGUUGACCGCCUGGGGAGUACGGUCGCAAGAUUAAAACUCAAAGGAAUUGACGGGGACCCGCACAAGCGGUGGAUGAUGUGGAUUAAUUCGAUGCAACGCGAAAAACCUUACCUACCCUUGACAUGGUCGGAACCUGGCUG